AGACCCGAAACCCGGUGAUCUAGCCAUGGGCAGGUUGAAGGUUGGGUAACACUAACUGGAGGACCGAACCGACUAAUGUUGAAAAAUUAGCGGAUGACCUGUGGCUGGGGGUGAAAGGCCAAUCAAACCGGGAGAUAGCUGGUUCUCCCCGAAAGCUAUUUAGGUAGCGCCUCGUGAAUUCAUCUCCGGGGGUAGAGCACUGUUUCGGCUAGGGGGCCAUCCCGGCUUACCAACCCGAUGCAAACUGCGAAUACCGGAGAAUGUUAUCACGGGAGACACACGGCGGGUGCUAACGUCCGUCGUGAAGAGGGAAACAACCCAGACCGCCAGCUAAGGUCCCAAAGUCAUGGUUAAGUGGGAAACGAUGUGGGAAGGCCCAGACAGCCAGGAUGUUGGCUUAGAAGCAGCCAUCAUUUAAAGAAAGCGUAAUAGCUCACUGGUCGAGUCGGCCUGCGCGGAAGAUGUAACGGGGCUAAACCAUGCACCGAAGCUGCGGCAGCGACACUCAGGUGUUGUUGGGUAGGGGAGCGUUCUGUAAGCCUGUGAAGGUGUGUCGUGAGGCAUGCUGGAGGUAUCAGAAGUGCGAAUGCUGACAUAAGUAACGAUAAAGCGGGUGAAAAGCCCGCUCGCCGGAAGACCAAGGGUUCCUGUCCAACGUUAAUCGGGGCAGGGUGAGUCGACCCCUAAGGCGAGGCCGAAAGGCGUAGUCGAUGGGAAACGGGUUAAUAUUCCCGUACUUGGUGUUACUGCGAAGGGGGGACGGAGAAGGCUAUGUUGGC
rnacentral:rRNA from 1 species